UUGUGUGAUUCAAGGCUAGAUUUUCUUACUUUGUAAUCCAUGUUGAGAUCCGGUACGUUCUCCAUGGAUGUAACUAGUCAGUUGUUCUCGCGGUGAAGGUCUGUGUAGAUCUGUUCACUGUGAUCUCUGGAGCUCAGUGAAAUGGACUGUACAACAGAAUUCAUCCUAAAGUUCUAGAAUGACACAUCAAAGGAACGGAACUCAUCAAAGGAAUAGAACUCAUCAAAGGAAUAGAACUCAUCAAAGUUGGAUGUUUGAGCUUCUCUGCACAGAAUACUGCCCCCAGUGCACACACACUGAGAAUGGCAGGAAAACAGUUUCCCUCUCAAACAUGUCCAGCUGUGAAGAUGAUGAUGAUGAUGAUGAGGAUGCCGUAGCUCAGCGUCGCAGG